GUGAAUUUAUCCGCUUCGAUGGAUUGUCACUUUUGGACCGUAAUGGCAGUUUAUGUGUCAAGAACAGCGCUGCGAUAAGGAGAGGAGCACAUGGACGAGGAGGUGGACGGCAGUGGGAAGGAAGAACAGAAUGCUGAUGACCCUGCUCUUCCUUGUGCCAGCCUUGUGGCACAGAACCAGCCUCAGCACCACCAUGAGCUCUACACACAAGACCAGGACCUUCCCAUCAUGCACUGGGAGGAUUUGAGUUUGCGAAUAGCCGAGCUUGAGAAACAGGAGGAAGAGAGGAGGAAAAGAGCUGAGGUUUAACACUCCUAAAAACCUGCAGCUGUGUUUUAUCAACGAUAGUGAGAGCGAUCAAGAGGGUGAUGAAGGGGCAUCCUUCAGAGAGAGGCCACAUGAUUCACAGGGACAGGGGCGACAAUCUGCCGGCCUGAAACAGGAAGUCAGAGCAGCUCUGAAUGAGCUCCGAGAUAAGCUUUGGGCUGAGCAGGGGCAGCAACAGCAGCCGAGCCACAAGGACGUGAGCUUUAGGAGAAGAAAGCUUAGCCACAGUGACCUGCAAACCUGCUCUGUGCUUCAGCUAAAUGCUCUCAGGACUUCCCUCCAUGAAGACAUUCAGGAUCUGAGCUCAGAAUUAGUGAAGCAUCUGGUGGUGAGGGACAAUCUACGGACAAAGCAAGAUGCCAUGCUCCUGGAUGUACAGGAUAUGACAUCACUGUGACGCACAUCAAUCUAUAAUUAGCCUUUAUUAUAAAAUAGUCUGCCAUAUGAUAGGCCUUUUUGGAAUGAUGGACCUAUAUUACACCAGCAAUUUAUUGUCUAAUAUGUUUUUGUUUUCUACUUUACACUAACAAAGCCAUAUGAUCCUGUUUGUCUUGAUUCGCUUUUUUGUGCUCACACAAAUAUUGCUUACUAUGUGAAUGUAAUUAUUUUAGUCACAAGUUUUAUUGUGAGAAACUGUGCAUGUGUGAAAGAGUAGCUAAACAAGCAUGCUCUUCAUGUUUUCAACAUUUGUUUUACAUUACCAUCUGUAAAAACUGUGAAAGCUGCUAUUAAAUGUACGUGUGAUCAGUAACUGCUUCAUGGGAGUAAGAACUGCAUGUAAUAUAAUAUAGCAUCUGCUGAAUAUGGGGCUUCAUGUUGUAAAAACACUAACACAACCUUUAAGUAUUUUUCUUAAAAUUUGACAAUUAAUAUAACUGAAUAAAUUUGUAACGUUUACUUAACUCCUAAAUGCUUGGGUGUUUUGCCAGCCUUUGUCAUUUUUGAGAUACUAUACUAUCAGUGCUUUCAAAUGCAUUGAGCUACAUGUAACAAUAUUCACUGUUAACUACAUCCAUGGUUAUUUUGCCGAUUACAUAUCUAAGCGAAAUCACUUUUUUUCAGUUCAUUUAUUCUAAGUGGUCAUUUUGUUAACUGAAAAACAAAACAAAGAACGAAUGAGGAGG
ensembl:lncRNA